rnacentral:rRNA from 1 species
GGCGGAACACGUGAAAUUCCGUCGGAAUCCGGGAGGACCAUCUCCCAAGGCUAAAUACUCCCUAGUGACCGAUAGUGAACCAGUACCGUGAGGGAAAGGUGAAAAGCACCCCGGAAGGGGAGUGAAACAGUUCCUGAAACCGUGUGCCUACAAGUAGUUAGAGCCCGUUAAUGGGUGAUAGCGUGCCUUUUGUAGAAUGAACCGGCGAGUUACGAUUUGUUGCAAGGUUAAGCGGAAAAAGCGGAGCCGUAGCGAAAGCGAGUCUGAAUAGGGCGCAUAAGUAACAGGUCGUAGACCCGAAACCAGGUGAUCUACCCAUGUCCAGGAUGAAGGUAAGGUAAUACUUACUGGAGGUCCGAACCCACGCACGUUGAAAAGUGCGGGGAUGAGGUGUGGGUAGCGGAGAAAUUCCAAUCGAACUUGGAGAUAGCUGGUUCUCUCCGAAAUAGCUUUAGGGCUAGCCUCGAGGUAAAGAGUCAUGGAGGUAGAGCACUGUUUGGACUAGGGGCCCUUCUCGGGUUACCGAAUUCAGAUAAACUCCGAAUGCCAUGUACUUAUACUCGGGAGUCAGACUGCGAGUGAUAAGAUCCGUAGUCGAAAGGGAAACAGCCCAGACCACCAGUUAAGGUCCCCAAAUAUAUGUUAAGUGGAAAAGGAUGUGGGGUUGCUUAGACAACCAGGAUGUUGGCUUAGAAGCAGCCACCAUUGAAAGAGUGCGUAAUAGCUCACUGGUCGAGUGACCCCGCGCCGAAAAUGUACCGGGGCUAAACAUAUUACCGAAACUGUGGAUGAACCUCUUUAGAGGUUCGUGGUAGGAGAGCGUUCUAAGGGCGGUGAAGUCAGACCGGAAGGACUGGUGGAGCGCUUAGAAGUGAGAAUGCCGGUAUGAGUAGCGAAAGAAGGGUGAGAAUCCCUUCCACCGAAUAUCUAAGGUUUCCUGAGGAAGGCUCGUCCGCUCAGGGUUAGUCGGGACCUAAGCCGAGGCCGAUAGGCGUAGGCGAUGGACAACAGGUAGAGAUUCCUGUACCAGUGCUAAUUGUUUAACCGAUGGGGUGACACAGAAGGAUAGGGAAUCGCACGAAUGGAAAUGUGCGUCCAAGCAGUGAGUGUGAGAAGUAGGCAAAUCCGCUUCUCGCGAAGCAUGAGCUGUGAUGGGGAAGGAAAUUAAGUACGGAAGUUCCUGAUUUCACGCUGUCAAGAAAAGCCUCUAGGAAGAGUAGUACUGCCCGUACCGCAAACCGACACAGGUAGAUGAGGAGAGAAUCCUAAGGUGAGCGAGAGAACUCUCGUUAAGGAACUCGGCAAAAUGACCCCGUAACUUCGGGAGAAGGGGUGCUCUAUUAGGGUGCAAGCCCGAGAGAGCCGCAGUGAAUAGGCCCAGGCGACUGUUUAGCAAAAACACAGGUCUCUGCAAAACCGUAAGGUGACGUAUAGGGGCUGACGCCUGCCCGGUGCUGGAAGGUUAAGAGGAGUGCUUAGCUUCGGCGAAGGUACGAAUUGAAGCCCCAGUAAACGGCGGCCGUAACUAUAACGGUCCUAAGGUAGCGAAAUUCCUUGUCGGGUAAGUUCCGACCCGCACGAAAGGCGCAACGAUCUGGGCACUGUCUCAACGAGAGACUCGGUGAAAUUAUAGUACCUGUGAAGAUGCAGGUUACCCGCGACAGGACGGAAAGACCCCGUGGAGCUUUACUGCAACCUGAUAUGGAAUGUUUGUACCGCUUGUACAGGAUAGGUAGGAGCCGAAGAGACGUGUGCGCUAGCAUACGAGGAGGCAAUGGUGGGAUACUACCCUGGCUGUAUGACCAUUCUAACCCGCCACGCUUAGCGCGUGGGGAGACAGUGUCAGGUGGGCAGUUUGACUGGGGCGGUCGCCUCCUAAAGAGUAACGGAGGCGCCCAAAGGUUCCCUCAGAAUGGAUGGAAAUCAUUCGCAGAGUGUAAAGGCACAAGGGAGCUUGACUGCGAGACUGACAAGUCGAGCAGGGACGAAAGUCGGGCUUAGUGAUCCGGUGGUUCCGCAUGGAAGGGCCAUCGCUCAACGGAUAAAAGCUACCCCGGGGAUAACAGGCUUAUCUCCCCCAAGAGUCCACAUCGACGGGGAGGUUUGGCACCUCGAUGUCGGCUCGUCGCAUCCUGGGGCUGUAGUCGGUCCCAAGGGUUGGGCUGUUCGCCCAUUAAAGCGGCACGCGAGCUGGGUUCAGAACGUCGUGAGACAGUUCGGUCCCUAUCCGUCGCGGGCGCAGGAAAUUUGAGAGGAGCUGUCCUUAGUACGAGAGGACCGGGAUGGACACACCGCUGGUGUACCAGUUGUUCCGCCAGGAGCAUCGCUGGGUAGCUAUGUGUGGCAGGGAUAAACGCUGAAAGCAUCUAAGCGUGAAGCCCCCCUCAAGAUGAGAUUUCCCAUUUCUUCGGAAAGUAAGAUCCCUGAAAGAUGAUCAGGUAGAUAGGUUUGGAGUGGAAGUGUAGCGAUACAUGGAGCGGACAAAUACUAAUCGAUCGAGGACUUAACCAA